GGCCCUAUCGUCUAACGGUUAGGACACCAGGUUCUCAUCCUGGCAAUUCGGGUUCAAAUCCCGAUGGGGCUA
rnacentral:tRNA from 1 species